rnacentral:rRNA from 1 species
UACGAAGGGGGCUAGCGUUGCUCGGAAUCACUGGGCGUAAAGCGCACGUAGGCGGGUCUUUAAGUCAGGGGUGAAAUCCUGGAGCUCAACUCCCAGAACUGCCUUUGAAUACUGAGGAUCUCGAAGUCCGGGAGAGGUGAGUGGAACUCCGGAGUGUAGAGGUGAAAAUUCGUAGAUAUUCGGAAGAACACCAGUGGCGAAGGCGGCUC